rnacentral:rRNA from 1 species
AUUGAACGCUGGCGGCAGGCUUAACACAUGCAAGUCGAGCGGAGAUGAGGUGCUUGCACCUUAUCUUAGCGGCGGACGGGUGAGUAAUGCUUAGGAAUCUGCCUAUUAGUGGGGGACAACAUUCCGAAAGGAAUGCUAAUACCGCAUACGUCCUACGGGAGAAAGCAGGGGAUCUUCGGACCUUGCGCUAAUAGAUGAGCCUAAGUCGGAUUAGCUAGUUGGUGGGGUAAAGGCCUACCAAGGCUACGAUCUGUAGCGGGUCUGAGAGGAGGGUCCGCCACACUGGGACUGAGACACGGCCCAGACUCCUACGGGAGGCAGCAGUGGGGAAUAUUGGACAAUGGGGGGAACCCUGAUCCAGCCAUGCCGCGUGUGUGAAGAAGGCCUUAUGGUUGUAAAGCACUUUAAGCGAGGAGGAGGCUACUGAGACUAAUACUCUUGGAUAGUGGACGUUACUCGCAGAAUAAGCACCGGCUAACUCUGUGCCAGCCGCCGCCGUAACAC